rnacentral:misc_RNA from 1 species
GUUUUAGGUAGCACAAUGGAUGCCCUGGAGGGAGCAGCAUCUUUCGUUGGGUCUGGUGUGGGCAUGGUGGGCACUGGCAUUGGCACUGGAGUCGGUAUGGUGGGGAGCGGCAUUGGCACUGGUGUUGGCAUUGUUGGAAGUGGCCUUGGUGCUGUUGGCAGUGGCCUCUCGAAAGCUGGAAGGUUUAUGGGGCGGACUAUCACCGGACAAUCUAGUCACUCCAGAAGGAGCAGUUCUUCUUCAACCCCAGUAAACAGUGUCCAGG